rnacentral:misc_RNA from 1 species
UCCUGGUUUCCCAGGCAGUCCCGUUAGAGUGCUCAACUGAAUGUAGCAACUAACGGCAAGGGUUGCGCUCGUUAAAGGACUUAACCCAACAUCUCACGACACGAGCUGACGACAGCCAUGCAGCACCUGUGUAAAGGGACGGUUUCCCGUCGCACUGCUUUUGGGCAGCUUGCCUAUACAUGUCAAGCCUAGGUAAGGUUUCUCGCGUAGUGUCGAAUUAAACCACAUGUUCCACCGCUUGUGCGGACCCCCGUCAAUUUCUUUGAGUUUUAAUCUUGCGACCGUACUCCCCAGGCGGAUCACUUAUCGCGUUAGCUUCGACACGGAACAGGCAAGCCCGUCCCACAUCUAGUGAUCAUCGUUUACAGCGUGGACUAC